GAUGAACGCUGGCGGCGUGCCUAAUACAUGCAAGUCGAGCGAACAGACGAGGAGCUUGCUCCUCUGACGUUAGCGGCGGACGGGUGAGUAACACGUGGAUAACCUACCUAUAAGACUGGGAUAACUUCGGGAAACCGGAGCUAAUACCGGAUAAUAUAUUGAACCGCAUGGUUCAAUAGUGAAAGACGGUUUUGCUGUCACUUAUAGAUGGAUCCGCGCCGCAUUAGCUAGUUGGUAAGGUAACGGCUUACCAAGGCAACGAUGCGUAGCCGACCUGAGAGGGGGACCGGCAAACCGGAACUGAGACACGGUCCAGACUCCUACGGGAGGCAGCAGUAGGGAAUCUUCCGCAAUGGGCGAAAGCCUGACGGAGCAACGCCGCGUGAGUGAUGAAGGUCUUCGGAUCGUAAAACUCUGUUAUUAGGGAAGAACAAAUGUGUAAGUAACUAUGCACGUCUUGACGGUACCUAAUCAGAAAGCCACGGCUAACUACGUG
rnacentral:rRNA from 1 species